CUACUCGCUACGAGGGGAUCUUUUUUUUCUGUUUUAAGAAAAAGAAAAUCUUAUGGAUCAUUUACAUUUCAAUUUGAAUUAGGGAUUCCGUGUACAACUAUAAGUGGUCCUUAACUACAUAUCUAUCUGAUCAUAUAUGCUUUAUCUUUAUGUAUUACAAUAAAUAAAAGAAGGAGGGUUUAAUGAAUCUUCCACUUACUUGAUGGGUUGGCUAAGAGAUUAUUUAUGGUUAUACUCUUCACAACUUAUCAAUGGAUAUAAUCCUUUUGGUACGAAUAGUUUAUCGGUCUGGCAUGGAUGUUCUUAUUUGGACAUCUUGUUUGGG
rnacentral:lncRNA from 1 species